rnacentral:rRNA from 1 species
AAAAAAGGUAAGCUACUAAGAGCGAAUGGUGGAUGCCUUGACUGGUAAAGGCGAUGAAGGACGUACUAGACUGCGAUAAGCUACGGGGAGCUGUCAAGAAGCUUUGAUCCGUAGAUUUCCGAAUGGGGCAACCCAAUGUAUAGAGAUAUACAUUACCUAUAUAGGAGCGAACGAGGGGAAUUGAAACAUCUUAGUACCCUCAGGAAAAGAAAUCAAUAGAGAUUGCGUCAGUAGCGGCGAGCGAAAGCGUAAGAGGGCAAACCCAGUGCUUGCACUGGGGGUUGUAGGACUGCAAUGUGCAAGAGGUGAGUUUAGCAGAACAUUCUGGAAAGUAUAGCCAUAGAGGGUGAUAGUCCCGUAUGCGAAAAACAAACCUUAGCUAGCAGUAUCCUGAGUAGGGCGGGACACGAGAAAUCCUGUCUGAAGCUGGGUCGACCACGAUCCAACCCUAAAUACUAAUACCAGAUCGAUAGUGCACAAGUACCGUGAGGGAAAGGUGAAAAGAACUGAGGUGAUCAGAGUGAAAUAGAACCUGAAACCAUUUGCUUACAAUCAUUCAGAGCACUAUGUAGCAAUACAGUGUGAUGGACUGCCUUUUGCAUAAUGAGCCUGCGAGUUGUGGUGUCUGGCAAGGUUAAGCAAACGCGAAGCCGUAGCGAAAGCGAGUCUGAAUAGGGCGCUUAGUCAGAUGCUGCAGACCCGAAACGAAGUGAUCUAUCCAUGAGCAAGUUGAAGCUAGUGUAAGAACUAGUGGAGGACUGAACCCAUAGGCGUUGAAAAGCCCCGGGAUGACUUGUGGAUAGGGGUGAAAGGCCAAUCAAACUUCGUGAUAGCUGGUUCUCUCCGAAAUAUAUUUAGGUAUAGCGUUGUGUCGUAAUAUAAGGGGGUAGAGCACUGAAUGGGCUAGGGCAUACACCAAUGUACCAAACCCUAUCAAACUCCGAAUACCUUAUAUGUAAUCACAGCAGUCAGGCGGCGAGUGAUAAAAUCCGUCGUCAAGAGGGAAACAACCCAGACUACCAGCUAAGGUCCCUAAAUCUUACUUAAGUGGAAAACGAUGUGAAGUUACUUAAACAACCAGGAGGUUGGCUUAGAAGCAGCCAUCCUUUAAAGAAAGCGUAAUAGCUCACUGGUCUAGUGAUUUUGCGCGGAAAAUAUAACGGGGCUAAAGUAAGUACCGAAGCUGUAGACUUGAUUUUAUCAAGUGGUAGGAGAGCGUUCUAUUUGCGCCGAAGGUAUACCGGUAAGGAGUGCUGGAGCGAAUAGAAGUGAGCAUGCAGGCAUGAGUAGCGAUAAUUAAUGUGAGAAUCAUUAACGCCGUAAACCCAAGGUUUCCUACGCGAUGCUCGUCAUCGUAGGGUUAGUCGGGUCCUAAGUCGAGUCCGAAAGGGGUAGACGAUGGCAAAUUGGUUAAUAUUCCAAUACCAACAUUAGUGUGCGAUGGAAGGACGCUUAGGGCUAAGGGGGCUAGCGGAUGGAAGUGCUAGUCUAAGGUCGUAGGAGGUUAUACAGGCAAAUCCGUAUAACAAUACUCCGAGAACUGAAAGGCUUUUUGAAGUCUUCGGAUGGAUAGAAGAACCCCUGAUGCCGUCGAGCCAAGAAAAGUUUCUAAGUUUAGCUAAUGUUGCCCGUACCGUAAACCGACACAGGUGGGUGGGAUGAGUAUUCUAAGGCGCGUGGAAGAACUCUCUUUAAGGAACUCUGCAAAAUAGCACCGUAUCUUCGGUAUAAGGUGUGGUUCGCUUCGUAUUAGGAUUUACUCCGAAAGCGAAGAAACUUACAACAAAGAGUCCCUCCCGACUGUUUACCAAAAACACAGCACUCUGCUAACUCGUAAGAGGAUGUAUAGGGUGUGACGCCUGCCCGGUGCUCGAAGGUUAAUUGAUGGGGUUAGCAUUAGCGAAGCUCUUGAUCGAAGCCCGAGUAAACGGCGGCCGUAACUAUAACGGUCCUAAGGUAGCGAAAUUCCUUGUCGGUUAAAUACCGACCUGCAUGAAUGGCGUAACGAGAUGGGAGCUGUCUCAAAGAGGGAUCCAGUGAAAUUGUAGUGGAGGUGAAAAUUCCUCCUACCCGCGGCAAGACGGAAAGACCCCGUGGACCUUUACUACAGCUUGACACUGCUAUUUGGAUAAGAAUGUGCAGGAUAGGUGGGAGGCUUUGAGUAUAUGACGCCAGUUGUAUAUGAGCCAUUGUUGAGAUACCACUCUUUCUUAUUUGGGUAGCUAACCAGCUUGAGUUAUCCUCAAGUGGGACAAUGUCUGGUGGGUAGUUUGACUGGGGCGGUCGCCUCCCAAAUAAUAACGGAGGCUUACAAAGGUUGGCUCAGAACGGUUGGAAAUCGUUCGUAGAGUAUAAAGGUAUAAGCCAGCUUAACUGCAAGACAUACAAGUCAAGCAGAGACGAAAGUCGGUCUUAGUGAUCCGGUGGUUCUGUGUGGAAGGGCCAUCGCUCAAAGGAUAAAAGGUACCCCGGGGAUAACAGGCUGAUCUCCCCCAAGAGCUCACAUCGACGGGGAGGUUUGGCACCUCGAUGUCGGCUCAUCGCAUCCUGGGGCUGGAGCAGGUCCCAAGGGUAUGGCUGUUCGCCAUUUAAAGCGGUACGCGAGCUGGGUUCAGAACGUCGUGAGACAGUUCGGUCCCUAUCUGCCGUGGGCGUAAGAAGAUUGAAGAGAUUUGACCCUAGUACGAGAGGACCGGGUUGAACAAACCACUGGUGUAGUUGUUGUUCUGCCAAGAGCAUCGCAGCGUAGCUAAGUUUGGAAAGGAUAAACGCUGAAAGCAUCUAAGCGUGAAGCCAACUCUAAGAUGAAUCUUCUCUAAGCUCUCUAGAAGACUACUAGUUUGAUAGGCUGGGUGUGUAAUGGAUGAAAGUCCUUUAGCUGACCAGUACUAAUAGAGCGUUUGGCUUAUCUUUAAUAAAGCAU